UCCGUAGGGUGCAAGCGUUGUCCGGAAUUAUUGGGCGUAAAGAGCUCGUAGGCGGUUUGUCGCGUCUGCUGUGAAAGACCGGGGCUCAACUCCGGUUCUGCAGUGGGUACGGGCAGACUAGAGUGCAGUAGGGGAGACUGGAAUUCCUGGUGUAGCGGUGAAAUGCGCAGAUAUCAGGAGGAACACCGAUGGCGAAGGCAGGUCUCUGGGCUGUAACUGACGCUGAGGAGCGAAAGCAUGGGGAGCGAACAGG
rnacentral:rRNA from 1 species